GACGAACGCUGGCGGCGUGCUUAACACAUGCAAGUCGAGCGAAUGGAUUAAGAGCUUGCUCUUAUGAAGUUAGCGGCGGACGGGUGAGUAACACGUGGGUAACCUGCCCAUAAGACUGGGAUAACUCCGGGAAACCGGGGCUAAUACCGGAUAACAUUUUGAACCGCAUGGUUCGAAAUUGAAAGGCGGCUUCGGCUGUCACUUAUGGAUGGACCCGCGUCGCAUUAGCUAGUUGGUGAGGUAACGGCUCACCAAGGCAACGAUGCGUAGCCGACCUGAGAGGGUGAUCGGCCACACUGGGACUGAGACACGGCCCAGACUCCUACGGGAGGCAGCAGUAGGGAAUCUUCGGCAAUGGACGAAAGUCUGACGGAGCAACGCCGCGUGAGUGAUGAAGGCUUUCGGGUCGUAAAACUCUGUUGUUAGGGAAGAACAAGUGCUAGUUGAAUAAGCUGGCACCUUGACGGUACCUAACCAGAAAGCCACGGCUAACUACGUGCCAGCCGCCGGCGGUAA
rnacentral:rRNA from 1 species